rnacentral:rRNA from 1 species
UACGUAGGUCCCGAGCGUUGUCCGGAUUUAUUGGGCGUAAAGCGAGCGCAGGUGGUUUAUUAAGUCUGGUGUAAAAGGCAGUGGCUCAACCAUUGUAUGCAUUGGAAACUGGUAGACUUGAGUGCAGGAGAGGAGAGUGGAAUUCCAUGUGUAGCGGUGAAAUGCGUAGAUAUAUGGAGGAACACCGGUGGCGAAAGCGGCUCUCUGGCCUGUAACUGACACUGAGGCUCGAAAGCGUGGGGAGCAAAC